rnacentral:rRNA from 1 species
AUUGAACGCUGGCGGCAUGCCUUACACAUGCAAGUCGAACGGCAGCACGGGUGCUUGCACCUGGUGGCGAGUGGCGAACGGGUGAGUAAUACAUCGGAACAUGUCCUGUAGUGGGGGAUAGCCCGGCGAAAGCCGGAUUAAUACCGCAUACGAUCUACGGAUGAAAGCGGGGGACCUUCGGGCCUCGCGCUAUAGGGUUGGCCGAUAGCUGAUUAGCUAGUUGGUGGGGUAAAGGCCUACCAAGGCGACGAUCAGUAGCUGGUCUGAAAGGACGACCAGCCACACUGGGACUGAGACACGGCCCAGACUCCUACGGGAGGCAGCAGUGGGGAAUUUUGGACAAUGGGCGAAAGCCUGAUCCAGCAAUGCCGCGUGUGUGAAGAAGGCCUUCGGGUUGUAAAGCACUUUUGUCCGGAAAGAAAUCCUUGGCUCUAAUACAGUCGGGGGAUGACGGUACCGGAAGAAUAAGCACCGGCUAACUACGUG